rnacentral:rRNA from 1 species
GAUCAGUGGCUACGAGGACGACGCUGGCGGCGCGCCUAACACAUGCAAGUCGAACGAGAGAUGAGGAGCUUGCUCUUCAAAUCGAGUGGCGAACGGGUGAGUAACGCGUGAGGAACCUGCCUCAAAGAGGGGGGACAACAGUUGGAAACGACUGCUAAUACCGCAUAAGCCCACGGCUCGGCAUCGAGCAGGGGGAAAAGGAGCAAUCCGCUAUGAGAUGGACCCGCGGCGCAUUAGCUAGUUGGUGGGUAACGGCCUACCAAGGCGAUGAUGCGUAGCCGACCUGAGAGGGUGAUCGGCCACAUUGGGACUGAGACACGGCCCAGACUCCUACGGGAGGCAGCAGUGGGGAAUAUUGCACAAUGGGGGAAACCCUGAUGCAGCAACGCCGCGUGAGUGAUGAAGGUUUUCGGAUCGUAAAGCUCUGUCUUUGGGGAAGAUAAUGACGGUACCCAAGGAGGAAGCCACGGCUAACUACGUG